rnacentral:rRNA from 1 species
UACAGAGGUCUCAAGCGUUGUUCGGAUUCAUUGGGCGUAAAGGGUGCGUAGGUGGCGCUGUAAGUCGGGUGUGAAAUCUCGGGGCUUAACUCCGAAAACUGCAUUCGAUACUGCCGUGCUUGAGGACUGGAGAGGAGACUGGAAAUUUACGGUGUAGCGGUGAAAUGCGUAGAUAUCGUAAGGAAGACCAGUGGCGAAGGCGGGUCUCUGGACAA